rnacentral:rRNA from 1 species
AGUGAACGCUGGCGGUAGGCCUAACACAUGCAAGUCGAACGGCCGCACAGUAAGAGCUUGCUCUUACGGGUGGCGAGUGGCGGACGGGUGAGGAAUACAUCGGAAUCUACUUUUUCGUGGGGGAUAACGUAGGGAAACUUACGCUAAUACCGCAUACGACCUACGGGUGAAAGCAGGGGAUCUUCGGACCUUGCGCGAUUGAAUGAGCCGAUGUCGGAUUAGCUAGUUGGCGGGGUAAAGGCCCACCAAGGCGACGAUCCGUAGCUGGUCUGAGAGGAUGAUCAGCCACACUGGAAUUGAGACACGGUCCAGACUCCUACGGGAGGCAGCAGUGGGGAAUAUUGGACAAUGGGCGCAAGCCUGAUCCAGCCAUACCGCGUGGGUGAAGAAGGCCUUCGGGUUGUAAAGCCCUUUUGUUGGGAAAGAAAAGCAGCAGGUUAAUACCCCGCUGUUCUGACGGUACCCAAAGAAUAAGCACCGGCUAACUUCGUG